AAGUGGGGUGUCCCGGCGCCUGCGCAGUGCGGCCCGCGGCGGGGCUGAGAUGGAGGCGACGACAACGCCGACGAUGAGGAGUCGUGACGAGAGCGGGGAAGGGCGAGGCCGGGUCUGCGAGGGUGGCGACAAGGCCCUGAGCCCCGGUCCCCCUCAGGGGCGGCCGCAGGAGCUGCCCAAACACUCCUACUGGUUCGACCUCUGGCUCUUCCUCCUCUUCGACCUGGCGCUCUUCGUCUUCGUCUACCUGUUGCCCUGACUGAAUUCCCUGAAACCUGCAAUAAGGAAUUGGCUUUUUGUUUUGGUGUCUUCCAAGAAUGUUGACCUUCUAAGCAAGAAGUGCAAAGAGAAGAAAGAUGGGAUGUGCAAUAGAGGACUUCUUUGCAGCUGUAGGACUACUUGGUUUGCUACAAAGGAUCUUCUACAGUAUGUAGGUGAAGGCCCCUUACCCCGUUAAAUCAGAUCCAUUACCCUAUUAGUGCAAAUGUACAUUUGGAUUCAUUUUAAAGUAACUUCUAAACACAUCUGUUGGCUUAACAAUAAACAUAUGAUGGGAUUUUUGAAUUUGCCAUUGUGAGGACAGUAUUAAACGUUUGAAAGCAAA